UAAUUGGACCUGGUUCCAGGUAAGAUUUCCCGUAUAACUUA
rnacentral:rRNA from 1 species